AUUGAACGCUGGCGGCAGGCCUAACACAUGCAAGUCGAGCGGAUGAGAGGAGCUUGCUCCUUGAUUUAGCGGCGGACGGGUGAGUAAUGCCUAGGAAUCUGCCUGGUAGUGGGGGAUAACGUUCCGAAAGGAACGCUAAUACCGCAUACGUCCUACGGGAGAAAGCAGGGGACCUUCGGGCCUUGCGCUAUCAGAUGAGCCUAGGUCGGAUUAGCUAGUUGGUGAGGUAAUGGCUCACCAAGGCGACGAUCCGUAACUGGUCUGAGAGGAUGAUCAGUCACACUGGAACUGAGACACGGUCCAGACUCCUACGGGAGGCAGCAGUGGGGAAUAUUGGACAAUGGGCGAAAGCCUGAUCCAGCCAUGCCGCGUGUGUGAAGAAGGUCUUCGGAUUGUAAAGCACUUUAAGUUGGGAGGAAGGGCAUUAACCUAAUACGUUAGUGUUUUGACGUUACCGACAGAAUAAGCACCGGCUAACUUCGUGCCAGCCGCCGCGGUAAUAC
rnacentral:rRNA from 1 species